UGGGAUAUAGCUCAGUUGGUAGAGUGCUUGCCUUACAUAUCAGGUCCUGGGUUCAAUCCCCAGCAUCACAA
rnacentral:tRNA from 1 species